GAUGAACGCUGGCGGCGUGCCUAAUACAUGCAAGUCGAGCGAACAGACGAGGAGCUUGCUCCUCUGACGUUAGCGGCGGACGGGUGAGUAACACGUGGAUAACCUACCUAUAAGACUGGGAUAACUUCGGGAAACCGGAGCUAAUACCGGAUAAUAUAUUGAACCGCAUGGUUCAAUAGUGAAAGACGGUUUUGCUGUCACUUAUAGAUGGAUCCGCGCCGCAUUAGCUAGUUGGUAAGGUAACGGCUUACCAAGGCAACGAUGCGUAGCCGACCUGAGAGGGGGAGCGGCACAACGGGAAAGGGGACCGGGGCCGGCCCCCUAGGGGAGGCAAGAGGCGGGAAGUUUCCGCAAGGGGGGAAAGCCUAAAGGAGCAACGGCGGGGGAUGAAAAAAGGUCUGGGGAUCUAAAAACCCUUUUAUUGGGGAAGAAAAAAGGGUAAAGGAACAAUGCCGGUCUUGACGGUACCUAAUAAAAAAGCCCGGGCUAACUACGU
rnacentral:rRNA from 1 species